GAUCAAGACAGAACUUCUUAUUGUGGUGGGAUCGCGCAUGGGCAGGAUGGUGUAACCAUCCGGCAGUAGCCACCCAUGCGCGACGAACAGGCUCCUCGAAGGGGCCUUUUUUUAUGCCCGCAC
rnacentral:sRNA from 1 species